GACGAACGCUGGCGGCGUGCUUAACACAUGCAAGUCGAACGGAAAGGCCUCUUUCGGGUGGUCCUCGAGUGGCCAACGGGUGAGUGACACGUGAGUACCCCGCCCUUGACUUUGGGAUAACUUCAGGACACUGGGGCUAAUACCGGAUAGUAGCUACUGCUGCAUGGUGGGGGUUGGAGAGCUUCGGCGGUUGGGGAUGGACUCGCGGCUUAUCAGCUUGUUGGUGGGGUGGUGGCUUACCAAGCCCUUGACGGGAAGCCGGCCUGCGGGGGUGACCCGCCGUAUUGAGACUUAGACACGGCCCCGACGGCUACGAGAGGCAGACGUGCGGAAUCUUGAACAAUGGGUGGAAGCCUGAUGCAGCAACCCUGUGUGCGGGAUGACCGCCUUCCGGUUGAAGACCGCUUGCGCUCAUCAAGAAGCCUUGUGUGACGGUAGUGGGUAAAGAAGCACCGGCUAACUACGUG
rnacentral:rRNA from 1 species